AGUGAACGCUGGCGGUAGGCCUAACACAUGCAAGUCGAACGGCAGCACAGUAAGAGCUUGCUCUUACGGGUGGCGAGUGGCGGACGGGUGAGGAAUACAUCGGAAUCUACUUUUUCGUGGGGGAUAACGUAGGGAAACUUACGCUAAUACCGCAUACGACCUACGGGUGAAAGCAGGGGAUCUUCGGACCUUGCGCGAUUGAAUGAGCCGAUGUCGGAUUAGCUAGUUGGCGGGGUAAAGGCCCACCAAGGCGACGAUCCGUAGCUGGUCUGAGAGGAUGAUCAGCCACACUGGAACUGAGACACGGUCCAGACUCCUACGGGGGGCAGCAGUGGGGAAUAUUGGACAAUGGGCGCAGGCCUGAUCCAGCCAUACCGCGUGGGUGAAGAAGGCCUUCGGGUUGUAAAGCCCUUUUGUUGGGAAAGAAAAGCAGCAGGUUAAUACCCCGCUGUUCUGACGGUACCCAAAGAAUAAGCACCGGCUAACUUCGUG
rnacentral:rRNA from 1 species